CACGCCGUAAACGAUGAGUACUAGGUGUAGGGGGUAUCGACCCCCCCUGUGCCGCAGUAAACACAAUAAGUACUCCGCCUGGGAAGUACGAUCGCAAGAUUAAAACUCAAAGGAAUUGACGGGUCCCCGCACAAGCAGUGGAGCAUGAGGUUUAAUUCGACGCUACGCGAAGAACCUUACCAGAACUUGACAUGGCGGAUAAUGCUGCAGAAAUGCAGAGAUAAUACCCGCACACAGGUGG
rnacentral:rRNA from 1 species